rnacentral:rRNA from 1 species
GACGAACGCUGGCGGCGUGCCUAAUACAUGCAAGUAGAACGCUGAAGGAGGAGCUUGCUUCUCUGGAUGAGUUGCGAACGGGUGAGUAACGCGUAGGUAACCUGCCUGGUAGCGGGGGAUAACUAUUGGAAACGAUAGCUAAUACCGCAUAAGAGUAGAUGUUGCAUGACAUUUGCUUAAAAGGUGCAAUUGCAUCACUACCAGAUGGACCUGCGUUGUAUUAGCUAGUUGGUGGGGUAACGGCUUACCAAGGCGACGAUACAUAGCCGACCUGAGAGGGGGAUCGGCCACACUGGGACUGAGACACGGCCCAGACUCCUACGGGAGGCAGCAGUAGGGAAUCUUCGGCAAUGGACGGAAGUCUGACCGAGCAACGCCGCGUGAGUGAAGAAGGUUUUCGGAUCGUAAAGCUCUGAUGUAAGAGAAGAACGAGUGUGAGAGUGGAAAGUUCACACUGUGACGGUAUCUUACCAGAAAGGGACGGCUAACUACGUG